rnacentral:tRNA from 1 species
GCAGAGGUGGCUCAAUGGUAGAAUUCUCACCUUCCAUGAGGGUGACCUGGGUUCAAUUCCCAAUCAAUGCA